rnacentral:rRNA from 1 species
UGGGGAAUCUUGGACAAUGGGGGCAACCCUGAUCCAGCGACGCCGCGUGGGUGAUGAAGGCCUUAGGGUUGUAAACCCCUUUCACCGGGGAGGAUGAUGACGUUACCCGGAGAAGAAGCCCCGGCUAACUACGUGCCAGCAGCCGCGGUAAUACGUAGGGGGCGAGCGUUGUCCGGAAUUAUUGGGCGUAAAGAGCGUGUAGGCGGCCUGGUAAGUCUGCCGUGAAAACUCGGGGCUCAACCCUGAGCGUGCGGUGGAUACUGCCAGGCUAGAGGAUGGUAGAGGCGAGUGGAAUUCCCGGUGUAGCGGUGAAAUGCGCAGAUAUCGGGAGGAACACCAGUAGCGAAGGCGGCUCGCUGGGCCAUUCCUGACGCUGAGACGCGAAAGCGUGGGGAGCAAACAGGAUUAGAUACCCGGGUAGUCC